CGUGACAAAACCCUAAUCUCUCAACUAUAAAAAUGUUGUUUUUCAAGGACGCCAAUAAUUUAUUGCAAAAAUCUUGCGUUAAAUUUUGAACAACCUAUUUAAAUACCCGGAGAAACGCAAAAUAUGUUACGUACUGCACAAUAACACAGACAGACGCUGAAGAAUUCUUUACAAAAAUGUAUUCUCCUCGCAUUUACGAUGUUGUUACAUGUGAUGAAUCAAAACUUACAAACAAACAAUGAUAUUAUGUUAAUAUAAUCCGAUCAAGCUACAGUGGCGAAGUGAAACAAGAUAUUAGACAAAAUUUUAAGAACCAGUUUAAAAUCUUAUUAUUAAUUUUAUAAGCAAAAAUUAAACAAUACAUUGCAGUAACAAUACCAGUAAUAUAAAUUAAUAAAUUCUGCAUUUUAUAGAACAGGA